GGGGCGCAGCCUGACCAGCCAUGCCGCGUGCAGGAAGACGGCCCUAUGGGUUGUAAACUGCUUUUGUCAGGGAAUAAACCCCCGCUCGUGAGCGGGGCUGAAGGUACCUGAAGAAUAAGCAUCGGCUAACUCCGUGCCAGCAGCCGCGGUAAUACGGAGGAUGCAAGCGUUAUCCGGAUUCAUUGGGUUUAAAGGGUGCGCAGGCGGAUUGGUAAGUCAGGGGUGAAAUCCCACAGCUCAACUGUGGAACUGCCUUUGAUACUGUCAGUCUAGAGUAUAGUUGAAGUUGGCGGAAUGUGUCAUGUAGCGGUGAAAUGCUUAGAUAUGACACAGAACACCGAUCGCGAAGGCAGCUAGCUAAGCUAUAACUGACGCUCAUGCACGAAAGCGUGGGGAUCAAACAGGAUUAGAUACCCUGGUAGUCCACGCUGUAAACGAUGAUUACUCGAUGUUGGCGAUACACAGUCAGCGUCUGAGCGAAAGCAAUAAGUAAUCCACCUGGGGAGUACGAUCGCAAGAUUGAAACUCAAAGGAAUUGA
rnacentral:rRNA from 1 species